CACAACCUGGUUGAUCCUGCCAGUAGUCAUAUGCUUGUCUCAAAGAUUAAGCCAUGCAUGUGCCAGUGUAAGCUUCAGCAUGGCCAGGCUGUGAAUGGCUCAUUAAAACAGUUGUAGCUUAUGUGGUGGUCUCUCUACAUGGAUAACCGUGGUAAUUCUAGAACUAAUACAUGUGCAACUGCCCGACUCUUUGGU
rnacentral:rRNA from 1 species